CAUCGGUGGUUCAGUGGUAGAAUGCUCGCCUGCCACGCGAGCGGCCCGUGUUCGUUUCCGGCCGAUCCCUUUUUUUUA